rnacentral:tRNA from 1 species
GCCCUAAUAGCUCAAUGGACAGAGUACCGGUCUACGGAACCGGGGAUCCAGGUUCGACUCCUGGUUGGGGUA